UCAAAAACGAUGAUGGAACAAAGAUUCUGGAAGUCUUCAGAGAGCCGGUGGUUGGUGCAAACCGGUGACAAACAGAUGUCUUUAGCGCUCCUGAGAUAUUGUAUCGAACCUUAAAGUAGGUGCAAUCGGAUCAACUCCGUUACCAGUGUGGCCUUUGCAGGCCAAUGAGGCUGCUUCUUCCAAGUUGCAGUGAAUUAGGGUGGUACCACGAAGAUAACUCUCGUCCCUUAC
rnacentral:ncRNA from 1 species